rnacentral:lncRNA from 1 species
GCGUUCAGAAAGGGAACAGCAGCCCCUCGCUUCAAAAAGGAAACCUGUAAGGGUCAGGUUUGGCUAAUGAGGCAUUGUUAAUAACAAUGAAGCAGCUGGCCUAUCCAAAAAGUGCUUGGGCACGGAGAAUUCUUGGAGUGGGAAGCCUGUAGGGCUGUGGCACAGGGCUCUGCUGUUGCCUCUGGAAAAACAAGUUUGUGAGUUCAUUAUUCCAUGGCAGAACUCUCCCUAGCACCUGGGACUGCUCCAUGCUUGCAGUGGGAACUCUGAGGUUGGCUGCUUUCCAGUGCUCCUGCUCUCCUGUUCGGGGUGACCUUCCAAGGAGGAACAGGCCAAGCUGGAUUGUUCUGUGGACAAAGGCCUGUUCCCGUGCUGUGGGACUCCGUGUGCUGCAGGAUGAUCAGCCACCUCACUGACCUCACUUCCUCCGCCUUCCUGAGGGCUUUAAAGCAUAACCCAACAACAGGGACAGCACAGUCCUGCUGUUUUAAUCACCACCCCGUUCCCCAGUACUCUGCUGAAGCGGGGGCAUGCAGCAGCUGAGGAAAACUGUCAAGUACUACAUUUAUGCUGAUUGCAAGUGGCAGAGCAAUACCACCAAGGCCUUUGUGCCCCAGGAAAUCACUGGGGCCCUUUAUGGCUGCUGACUCUAUUCAUCUAGAAGCACCUUUUUGGAAUGUUCUCCUUCCCCUGCCAGUUGUUUAUUCAUGCAUCAACAAUGAGGAGCAACUGAAGGAUUGUUUCCUGCUUUUCCUUAUCACAAACUUCCAGCUGGGAGUUAAGGAGGCACCUGUGACGUCACCCAGACUGAGGGAUGAGAAGAGACCUUUGUGUCCAUGCUUGGAAGGAGCUGGAAAACCAUCCAGAGGUAUGUGGACUUCAGCUUCCCUCCUUCAGCUCUUAGUUCAGCUCCACUGAAACACAG